rnacentral:lncRNA from 1 species
AGGAGAGGGUUCUUAAUAGAGUUCAGGUCGAGAAACACCAGAUGAUCAGUGCUCAGGGAACCAUUGAUAUGAAUGGACGGCUUCGUAAUAAGAUCUUUAAUGUCCGAUGAUAUGCUAACUUGCUAAGGUUUAAAGCUUGUAAUAACGACAUCACUGCCUCCUCGGGAUGCAUCAUAGGUUUCUCUAUAACAGUCUGAAUAUUUUUUGGAGAAGAAAUUGUGUCUAUUAGAACAUGAUCAAUGGUAUAUACCACAAUAGAGUCUAUUAAAUAACUUUUAUUAAUAAAAUAAUUAAAAUUUAU